UACAGAGGUCUCAAGCCUUGUUCGGAUUCAUUGGGCGUAAAGGGUGUGUAGGUGGCGCGCUAAGUCGGGUGUGAAAUUUCGGAGCUUAACUCCGAAACUGCAUUCGAUACUGGCGUGCUUGAGGACUGGAGAGGAGACUGGAAUUCAUGGUGUAGCAGUGAAAUGCGUAGAGAUCAUGAGGAAGACCAGUGGCGAAGGCGGGUCUCUGGACAGUUCCUGACACUGAGACACGAAGGCCAGGGGAGCAAACGGG
rnacentral:rRNA from 1 species